CUGCAUGAAAAAAAUCGGGGAAGCAGCACCAUAUUGAGUAGAGAAAGAUGUAGCAAAAGACCUCCCAGUACUCUCUGGAA